rnacentral:rRNA from 1 species
UACGUAGGGGGGCGAGCGUUGUCCGGAUUUAUUGGGCGUAAAAGGCUUGUAGGUGGCCACGCGAAGUCGGAUGUGAAAUCUCCCGGCUCAACUGGGAGGGGUCAUUCGAUACUGGCGGGCUCGAGGCCGGUAGGGGGGAAGCGGAAUUCCCGGUGUAGUGGUGGAAUGCGUAGAUAUCGGGAGGAACACCAGUGGCGAAGGCGGCU